UACAGAGGGUGCAAGCGUUAAUCGGGAUUACUAGGCGUAAAGCGCGCGUAGAUGGUUUGUUAGGUUGGAUGUGAAAGCCCCGGGCUCAACCUGGGAACUGCAUACAAAACUUGCAAGCUAGAGUACGGAAGAGGGUGGUGGAAUUUCCUGUGUAGCGGUGAAAUGCGUAGAUAUAGGAAGGAACACCAGUGGCGAAGGCGACCACCUGGACUGAUACUGACACUGAGGAGCGAAAGCGUGGGGAGCAAACAGG
rnacentral:misc_RNA from 1 species